rnacentral:rRNA from 1 species
CGGUAACACGUGAGCAACCUUCCGAAAUAAUGGGGGAGUAGCCGGCCUAACGGCCGAGUAAUACCGCAUACGCUCUCGAUGAGGCAUUUCAUUGAGAGGAAACCUCCGGGGUAUUUCGAGGGGCUCGCGGCCUAUCAGCUAGUUGGCGAGGUAACGGCUCACCAAGGCAACGACGGGUAGCUGGUCUGAGAGGAUGGCCAGCCACAUUGGGACUGAGAUACGGCCCAG